ACUCAGGUGACGAGUCCUAAAUAGGACGAAACGCGCGUAAAACUGGAU
rfam:Schistosoma rodhaini strain Burundi genome assembly, scaffold: SROB_scaffold0003171